UACGUAGGGUGCGAGCGUUAAUCGGAAUUACUGGGCGUAAAGCGUGCGCAGGCGGUUCGUUGUGUCGGCGGUGAAAGCCCCGGGCUCAACCUGGGAACUGCAUUUGUGACUGCAAGGCUGGAGUGCGGCAGAGGGGGAUGGAAUUCCGCGUGUAGCAGUGAAAUGCGUAGAUAUGCGGAGGAACACCGAUGGCGAAGGCAAUCCCCUGGGCCUGCACUGACGCUCAUGCACGAAAGCGUGGGGAGCAAACAGG
rnacentral:rRNA from 1 species